rnacentral:rRNA from 1 species
UCUGCUCAAUGAAAUAUUUCAAUAGCCGCAACUAUAUUGUGCUAAGGUAGCAUAAUCAUUUGUCUUUUAAUUAAAGACUAGAACGAAAGAUUAAACAUUUUAAUUCCUAUCUAAAACACAUUCAUUCUAAAUUCUUUUAAAUAUAAAAAAAUAUUUAUAAAAUAAAAAGACGAUAAGACCCUAUUGAACUUAACUAAAGUUUAACUGGGGUAGUUAAUUAAAUAAAAUUUUAAUUCAAUUAAUAAAUAAACACACCUAAUACAAUUAAAUUCAAUCAAGUUACCAUAGGGAUAACAGCGUAAUAAUUUUUUCAAGAUCUUAUUUAAAAAAUAGUUUGCGACCUCGAUGUUGAAUUAAUUACCUAAUAAAUGCAACAAUUUAAUAAAGGAAGUCUGUUCGACUUUUAAUUAAUUACAUGAUCUGAG